GGCAUGUUUUACACUUUUAUCUAGUAUUCGGGUGUUAUCUUUCGGAGAUAAUGGUGGGGAAUGAAAAGGUGUUCACUACUGAAUCCCGGAAAUAUGAUUAACUUGAAGACUAUUGUAAACCAUCGCACUGAAAAAGGUUAUACUCCACUAAGAAAAGGUUUUCAAAGGCGUCAUGGACAUCCUCCAUAACGAAACUCGAGUGAAAGAAUUCAUGGUCGAUUUUGAAGCCGGGAUGUGGAUGGGCCUCCGGGAAGUUUUCGUCGACCCAACAAUUAAAGGAUGUGCCUUUCACUGGAACCAGGCCGUAUGGCGGCACGUGCAAAGCCUCGGUCUCCAGAGCGCCUACAGUCAACGCGACACUGUAUUCACCUUUGUCCGCAAGGUCAUGUCUAUACCGUUCCUGCCAGCGGAACAUGUGGAACCAGCGAUUAUGAGGUAGAUUAUAUAUUUGACAAAUACACAAAGAAAUACAAAAAAUAACUGUCUUUCUGAUUGUUGGAAAUGUU